rnacentral:snoRNA from 1 species
UGGAGGACUGAGAAAGUUGAGCAGCUUGUGUUGUGCUGUUCUGACUGGUUAUAACCUCCAAGAGUAACAAACAAACCAUGCAAGUUAAGUGGCUCUGUCAUAAUCAGAGCUAAUGUGUGUGUGAUUGUGAACAAAAU